AUUGAACGCUGGCGGCAGGCUUAACCCAUGCACGUCGAGCGAGCGGCGGACGGGUGAGUAAUGUCUGGGCAACUGCCUGAUGGAGGGGGAUAACUACUGGAAACGGUAGCUAAUACCGCAUACCAUCAGAUGUGCCCAGAUGGGAGUAGCUAGUAGUUGGGGUAAUGGCUCACCUAGGCGACGCUCCCUAGCUGGUCUGAGAGGAGGACCAGCGAAACUGUAACGGAACCACGGUCCAGACUCCUAAGGGAGGCAGCAGUGGGGAAGAUUGCACAAGGGGCGAAAGCCUGAGGCAGCCAUGCCGCGUGUGUGAAGAAGGCCGUAGGGUUGUAAAGCACUUUCAGCGAGGAGGCGUUACUCGCAGAAGAAGCACCGGCUAACUCCGUGCCAGCAGCCGCGGUAAUAC
rnacentral:rRNA from 1 species